UGGGGAAUAUUGCACAAUGGGCGCAAGCCUGAUGCAGCCAUGCCGCGUGUGUGAAGAAGGCCUUAGGGUUGUAAAGCACUUUCAGCGAGGAGGAAGGCAUCAUACUUAAUACGUGUGGUGAUUGACGUUACUCGCAGAAGAAGCACCGGCUAACUCCGUGCCAGCAGCCGCGGUAAUACGGAGGGUGCAAGCGUUAAUCGGAAUUACUGGGCGUAAAGCGCACGCAGGCGGUUUUGUAAGUCAGAUGUGAAAUCCCCGCGCUUAACGUGGGAACUGCAUUUGAAACUGGCAAGCUAGAGUCUUGUAGAGGGGGGUAGAAUUCCAGGUGUAGCGGUGAAAUGCGUAGAGAUCUGGAGGAAUACCGGUGGCGAAGGCGGCCCCCUGGACAAAGACUGACGCUCAGGUGCGAAAGCGUGGGGAGCAAACA
rnacentral:rRNA from 1 species